rnacentral:rRNA from 1 species
GACGAACGCUGGCGGCGUGCUUAACACAUGCAAGUCGAACGGAAAGGCCCUGCUUUUGUGGGGUGCUCGAGUGGCGAACGGGUGAGUAACACGUGAGUAACCUGCCCUUGACUUUGGGAUAACUUCAGGAAACUGGGGCUAAUACCGGAUAGGAGCUCCUGCUGCAUGGUGGGGGUUGGAAAGUUUCGGCGGUUGGGGAUGGACUCGCGGCUUAUCAGCUUGUUGGUGAGGUAGUGGCGUACCAAGGCUUUGACGGGUAGCCGGCCUGGGAGGGUGACCGGCCCCAUAGGGGCACGGGAGCGGCCCGGAGGGCUACGGGAGGCAGGGGCGGAGGAUUGUGCGCGAUGGGCGGAGGCAGGAUGCAAGAUCGCCGGGUGGGAGAAGACGGUUUUCGGGUAGGAAAACGUGUGCAACUAAGACGGAGCGUGUGUAAGGGUAAUAAGUAGAGAGGCACGGGCAAACUAGUU